AGAACCCUUUAUUACAAGCUAUUUGUCAUGAAGCAGUUCUGCACUGGUCUGACCCCUGCAAAAGAAACUCAGGAAACCAAGAGAUGAGGUCUACAUAGAGGUCUGACACCUCCUUUAUCAUUCUCUCCUUGAAAAUGACCAAUUGAGAAAUUAUUAACGCAUCUGGAGGAAGCAAGUGAAGGAGUCAUGAUCAAGUUUCCUGCUAUUUCAUUCCAGAAGAAUUUCUUCCAUCAGCAUUUUGAGAAUGGGUUGGAGAAAAAGCAUCAGCUUCCAACACAUAAAUGUUGGACGAAACUGUCCUGAGCUACUGUUAGUCUUUGCAUUUUCUGUAGUA